rnacentral:lncRNA from 1 species
CUUUCUGGAUAUGUGAUGUGUAUAUUAACUUGCAUUAUUAUUUUUUUAAACCAAAAUAGGAUAUACUGUUUCUGAUGUUCCCGCUUGCUUUUGGUCAUCUGGGUCCUGGCUACCUGGUGCAGGGCCCCAGGGUGUCUGGAUCCCUCACUCUUUUCAGUGGCUUUAUGGAUGUGAUUUAUGUAACCAAUCCGGGGCCUAUUUAAACUCCUGGCACUCAGUCAGCACUCAGAUGUUUGACGGGCAAGUGAGCAAACGAACAAAUGAAUGAAUGAGUAAGUGCCUUAGAACACUCAAGGCAGAUACACGUGGGCAGAAAUGAACUUCCAGAGGCCACCACAGCCUCAGUCGUUUCCUUUUGCAAUAUUAAUUGUCUAUGGAAUGGCUGAGCCAAGAACUGAAAGGUUCCGGUUCCUCUCCCUGGAGUUUGGACGGCACCAAGCUGUAGCAGUAGGGUCGUAUGCAACACAGAGAAGGCCAUUUCUGUGGGAAAUGCUUCCAGUGGAACUUUGGAGUCUGGGCUGAGCUUGUCGACAAGGGUCUUGAGCCUGUUGUUUAUUAGAAUUUGGCUGCAGGGUUAGCUCUUCCUCUGACAUGGUUCAUCCCAUUCAUCAGAUGAGUAAGGAGUUGUCCCCGGACUAUAGACCUGCGCUGACAUCUCUUGCACAGUAAAGAAAAGGAAAAAUUCAUAGCUGUAUGUUGUGGUU